rnacentral:rRNA from 1 species
UACGUGGGGUGCAAGCGUUGUUCGGAAUUACUGGCGUAAAGCGCGUGUAGGCGGCGCACUAAGUUCGAUGUGAAAGCCCUGGGCUCAACCCAGGAACUGCAUUGAAACUGGUGUGCUUGAGUCCGGGAGAGGGUCGCGGAAUUCCUGGUGUAGAGGUGAAAGUUCGUAGAUAUCAGGAGGAACACCUAUUGCGAAGGCAGCUCGCUGGACGUAACUGACGCUGAGACGCGAAAGCGUGGGGAGCGAACAGG